rnacentral:tRNA from 1 species
GGUUCUGUGGUUUAGUUGGUUCAAACGCCGGACUAGCGAUGCGGAGUUGUGGGUUCGAAUCCCACCAAAACAA